UGCAAAUGAUUAUCUCACGAUGGUCUUCUAAGCCUCUGGCACUGAUGACACUGCCUAAUGGCAAAACUGAUGCAGCUCU